UACGUAGGGCGCAAGCGUUGUCCGGAAUUAUUGGGCGUAAAGAGCUCGUAGGCGGUCUGUUACGUCCGCUGUGAAAACCCAGGGCUUAACCCCGGGCUUGCAGUGGAUACGGGUAGACUAGAGGCAGGUAGGGGAGAAUGGAAUUCCCGGUGUAGCGGUGAAAUGCGCAGAUAUCGGGAGGAACACCGGUGGCGAAGGCGGUUCUCUGGGCCUGACCUGACGCUGAGGAGCGAAAGCGUGGGGAGCGAACAGG
rnacentral:rRNA from 1 species